AACAGCUCAAAUUUGAAAUCUGGCCUUCGGGUCCGAGUUGUAAUUUGCAGAGGAUGCUUUGGGCGCGGUGCCUUCCGAGUUCCCUGGAACGGGACGCCUUAGAGGGUGAGAGCCCCGUACGGUUGGACACCAAGCCUCUGUAAAGCUCCUUCGACGAGUCGAGUAGUUUGGGAAUGCUGCUCUAAAUGGGAGGUAAAUUUCUUCUAAAGCUAAAUAUUGGCCAGAGACCGAUAGCGCACAAGUAGAGUGAUCGAAAGAUGAAAAGCACUUUGAAAAGAGGGUUAAAUAGCACGUGAAAUUGUUGAAAGGGAAGCGUUUACGACCAGACCUUUUCGCAGCGGAUCAUCCGGUGUUCUCACCGGUGCACUUCGCUGGGUUGAGGCCAGCAUCGGUUUCCGCAGGGGGAUAAAAGCCUGGGGAACGUAGCUCCCUCGGGAGUGUUAUAGCCCCUCGCAUAAUACCCUUGCGGGGACCGAGGACCGCGCUUCGGCAAGGAUGCUGGCGUAAUGGUCGUCAACGACCCGUCUUGAAACACGGACCAAGGAGUCGAACAUUUGUGCGAGUAUUCGGGUGUCAAACCCUUAUGCGCAAUGAAAGUGAACGGAGGUGAGAGCCCUCACGGGUGCAUCAUCGACCGAUCCUGAUGUCUUCGGAUGGAUUUGAGUAAGAGCAUAACUGUUCGGACCCGAAAGAUGGUGAACUAUGCGUGGAUAGGGUGAAGCCAGAGGAAACUCUGGUGGAGGCUCGCAGCGGUUCUGACGUGCAAAUCGAUCGUCAAAUCUGCGCAUGGGGGCGAAAGACUUAUCGAACCAUCUAGUAGCUGGUUACCGCCGAAGUUUCCCUCAGGAUAGCAGUGUUGUUCUUCAGUUUUAUGAGGUAAAGCGAAUGAUUAGGGACUCGGGGGCGCUUUUUAGCCUUCAUCCAUUCUCAAACUUUAAAUAUGUAAGAAGCCCUUGUUACUUAAGUGAACGUGGGCAUUCGAAUGUACCAACACUAGUGGGCCAUUUUUGGUAAGCAGAACUGGCGAUGCGGGAUGAACCGAACGCGGGGUUAAGGUGCCGGAGUGGACGCUCAUCAGACACCACAAAAGGUGUUAGCACAUUUAGACAAUAGGACGGUGGCCAUGGAAGUCGGAAUCCGCUAAGGACUGUGUAACAACUCACCUAUCGAAUGUGCUAGCCCUGAAAAUGGAUGGCGCUCAAGCGUCCCACCCAUACCUCGCCCUCA
rnacentral:rRNA from 1 species